rnacentral:rRNA from 1 species
AGAGUUUGAUCCUGGCUCAGAUUGAACGCUGGCGGCAUGCCUAACACAUGCAAGUCGAACGGAAACGAUGGGAGCUUGCUCCCAGGCGUCGAGUGGCGGACGGGUGAGUAAUACUUAGGAAUCUGCCCAUUAGUGGGGGACAACUCGAGGAAACUCGAGCUAAUACCGCAUACGCCCUACGGGGGAAAGCGGGGGAUCUUCGGACCUCGCGCUAAUGGAUGAGCCUAAGUCGGAUUAGCUAGUUGGUGAGGUAAAAGCUCACCAAGGCGACGAUCCGUAGCUGGUCUGAGAGGACGAUCAGCCACACUGGGACUGAGACACGGCCCAGACUCCUACGGGAGGCAGCAGUGGGGAAUAUUGGACAAUGGGCGCAAGCCUGAUCCAGCAAUGCCGCGUGUGUGAAGAAGGCCUGCGGGUUGUAAAGCACUUUCAGUAGAGAAGAAAAGCUUAGGGUUAAUAACCUUGAGUCUUGACGUAACCUACAGAAGAAGCUCCGGCUAACUCCGUGCCAGCAGCCGCGGUAAUACGGAGGGAGCGAGCGUUAAUCGGAAUUACUGGGCGUAAAGCGCGCGUAGGCGGCUUUGUAAGUCGGAUGUGAAAGCCCUGGGCUCAACCUGGGAAUGGCAUUCGAUACUGCAGAGCUAGAGUAUGGUAGAGGAAAGUGGAAUUUCCGGUGUAGCGGUGAAAUGCGUAGAUAUC